UGCCCUUCUCCCAAGCCUCUGAAGGCCGUGUACUGAGCCUGUCACCCAGGAUGGUCCCGAGAAGGUGACUGAAGAUUAACUCAUACUUACAGCUGCCCCUGCAGCAUCCUUUGAGUUGAGACUGGGAGUAAGACAUGAUGUCAAGAAAUGAAGGGAGGAAGGAGACACAGCUGGAUAAAAGUCUUGAGGGUCUUGCUGUGCAGUUUGGACUGGCAUUGAACAACGAUGUAGCUCAGGCUGGCCUCGAACUUGUGGCAAUUCUCCUGCCUCAGCCUCCUGAGUGCUGGGAUCACAAUCAUGUGCCGCCACACCCAGCUCUAAGUGGAUACAUAGCUGGUCGCUUGGGCUUAUGGGAGACCAUAAAUGGGUGAUGGACAGAUGGAUGCAUGGGUGCCUGGGCCAGUGCAUGGAUGGACGGAUGGAAGAAUGAGCAUGGCCUCCAGCAAAUAACCUUCCCUAGCCUGAGGAAAAAACCGCAAGUAAGAGCCCACUGGGCAGGGAGUGG